GUACGGGCGCUGAGAGGCGGAGCCCGGAGACGUGCGCGAUCGCCAUGCCCGAUCGCGCGGCGAACGGCUCCGUAACACGUCCCCAACCGAACCUCGGGAUCUGGAUACCCUCGGGAAACUGAGGCUAAUCCGGAAUAGGGGAGAGUGGCUGGAAGGCCUCUCCCCGAAAAGGAAACCGAGGCUAAGGUCGGUUUUCCGCCCGAGGACGGGGGGGCGUCCCAUCAGGUAGUAGGUGGGGUAACGGCCCACCUAGCCUAUGACGGGUACGGGCGCUGAGAGGCGGAGCCCGGAGAGGGGCACUGAGACAAGGGCCUCAGCCCUACGGGGUGCAGCAGUCGCGAAACCUCCGCAAUGCGCGAAAGCGUGACGGGGUCAGCCCGAGUGCCACCCGAGAGGGUGGCUGUGGCCGGCCGUAAACAAGCCGGCUUAGAAAGCGGAGGGCAAGGCUGGUGCCAGCCGCCGCGGUAAAACCAGCUCCGCGAGUGGUCGGGGCGUUUACUGGGCUUAAAGGGUCCGUAGGCGGCUCUGUGUGUCCGCGGCUAAAUCUCGGGGCUCAACCCCGAGACUGCUGCGGAUACUACAGAGCUAGGGACCGGGCGAGGGCGGGAGUACUCCCGGGGUAGGGGCGAAAUCCUGAGAUCCCGGGGGGACUAUCGGUGGCGAAGGCGCCCGCCUAGAACGGCUCCGACGCUGAGGGACGAAAGCCUGGGGAGCGAAGGGGAUUAGAUACCCCCGUAGUCCAGGCUGUAAACGAUGCCCGCUAGGUGUUGGACUGGCUACGGGCCAGUCCAGUGCCUGAAGGGAAACCGUUAAGCGGGCCGCCUGGGGAGUACGGCCGCAAGGCUGAAACUUAAAGGAAUUGGCGGGGGCCCACUACAAGGGGAGGAGCCUGCGGCUUAAUUGGAUUCAACGCCGGGAAACUUACCGGGGGGGACGGCUGAAUGACGGCCAGGCUAAUGACCUUGCCCGACUAGCCGAGAGGUGGUGCACGGCCGUCGCCAGCUCGUAUCGUGAGACGUCCGGUUAAGUCCGGCAACGAGCGAGAUCCCGCUCCCUAGUUGCCAGCGGGUACUCCUUCGGGAGUACGCCGGGCACACUAGGGAGACUGCCGCCGCCAAGGCGGAGGAAGGUGGGGCCACGGCAGGUCAGUGUGCCCCUAAACCCCCGGGCCGCACGCGGGCUACAUGGGGCCGGACAGAGGGUUCCAACCUCGAGAGAGGGAGGUAAUCCCUAAACCGGCCCGUGGUUGGGAUUGGGGGCUGAAACUCGCCCCCAUGAACAUGGAUUCCCUAGUAACCGCAUCUCAACAAGGUGCGGUGAAUACGUCCCUGGGCCUUGCACACACUGCCCGUCGCUGGAUCCGACCGACCCCUCCUCGAGGUCUCUCCUAGAGGGAGAGGUCGAGGGGAGGGGUUGGGAGGAGCCAUAAGUCGUAACAAGGUAGCCGUACGGGAACGUGCGGCUG
rnacentral:rRNA from 1 species